rnacentral:rRNA from 1 species
GGAGGCAGCAGUGGGGAAUAUUGGACAAUGGGCGAAAGCCUGAUCCAGCCAUGCCGCGUGUAUGAAGAAGGCCUUUUGGUUGUAAAGCACUUUAAGCGAGGAGGAGGAGCUUCAGGUUAAUACCUGGAUGCUUGGACGUUACUCGCAGAAUAAGCACCGGCUAACUCUGUGCCAGCAACCGCGUAAU